GGACAACAGGGACACUAGUGGAUAGGUCCAUUACAAUGAGGGGAUGUGAUUAGGGACAACAGGGACACUAGUGGAUAGGUCCAUUACAAUGAGGGGAUGUUAUCAGGGACAACAGGGACACUAGUGGAUAGGUCCAUUACAAUGAGGGGAUGUUAUCAGGGACAACAGGGACACUAGUGGAUAGGUCCAUUACAAUGAGGGGAUGUUAUUAGGGACAACAGGGACACUAGUGGAUAGGUCCAUUACAAUGAGGGGAUGUGAUUAGGGACAACAGGGACACUAGUGGAUAGGUCCAUUACAAUGAGGGGAUGUUAUUAGGGACAACAGGGACACUAGUGGAUAGGUCCAUUACAAUGAGGGGAUGUUAUUAGGGACAACAGGGACACUAGUGGAUAGGUCCAUUACAAUGAGGGGAUGUUAUUAGGGACAACAGGAAAACUAGUAGAUAGGUCCAUUACAAUGAGGGGAUGUUAUUAGGGACAACAGGAACACUAGUGGAUAGGUCCAUUACAAUGAGGGGAUGUUAUCAGGGACAACAGGGACACUAGUGGAUAGGUCCAUUACAAUGAGGGAUGUGAUUAGGGACAACAGGGACACUAGUGGUCCAUUACAAUGAGGGGAUGUGAUUAGGGACAACAGGGACACUAGUGGAUAGGUCCAUUACAAUGAGGGGAUGUGAUUAGGGACAACAGGGACACUAGUGGAUAGGUCCAUUACAAUGAGGGAUGUUAUUAGGGACAACAGGGACAC